GCACACAUAGUCUAACGGAAAGACAUUGCUUUUCGGAGCAAGAACAUGGGAUCAACACCCAUUGAGUGCG
rnacentral:tRNA from 1 species